UACGGAGGGUGCAAGCGUUGUUCGGAAUCACUGGGCGUAAAGGGCGCUGAGGCGGCUUGGUAAGUCAGAUGUGAAAGCCCACGGCUUAACCGUGGAAGUGCAUUUGAAACUGCCGGACUUGAGUACCAGAGGGGAAAGUGGAAUUCCCGGUGUAGAGGUGAAAUUCGUAGAUAUCGGGAGGAAUACCGGUGGCGAAGGAGGCUUUCGGGCUGGAUACUGACGCUGAGGCGCGAAAGCGUGUGGAGCAAACAGG
rnacentral:rRNA from 1 species